rnacentral:tRNA from 1 species
AAUAAAGUGCCUGAUAAAAGGAUUAUUCUGAUAGGAUAAAUUAUGUAAACAAAUUUACCUUUAUUA